UCUCAGUUCGGACUGUAGGCUGCAACUCGCCUACACGAAGUUGGAAUUGCUAGUAAUCGUGGAUCAGCAUGCCACGGUGAAUACGUUCCCGGGUCUUGUACACACCGCCCGUCACACCAUGGGAGCUGGUAACACCCGAAGUCAGUAGUCUAACCGCAAGGAGGACGCUGCCGAAGGUGGGAUUAGCGACUGGGGUGAAGUCGUAACAAGGUACC
rnacentral:rRNA from 1 species